rnacentral:rRNA from 1 species
CGCAAGCCUGACGGAGCAAGACCGCGUGCGGGAUGACGGCCUAAUGGUUGUAAACCGCUUUUCUCUGGGAUGAUGAUGACGGUACCAGAGGAAUCAGCCUCGGCUAACUCCGUGCCAGCAGCCGCGGUAAUACGGAGGAGGCAAGCGUUAUCCGGAAUUAUUGGGCGUAAAGCGUCCGUAGGUGGUUAUUCAAGUCUGCUGUCAAAGCGUGGGGCUUAACUCCAUAGAGGCAGUGGAAACUGGAUGACUUGAGUGCGGUAGGGGUCGAGGGAAUUCCCAGUGUAGCGGUGAAAUGCGUAGAUAUUGGGAAGAACACCAGUGGCGAAAGCGCUCGACUGGGCCUGCACUGACACUGAGGGACGAAAGCUAGGGGAGCG